rnacentral:miRNA from 1 species
UGAGUACGGAGCUGGCUAGAGUGC